AUGACCCUCUCUUGCUGUUCCCACUGGGUGUCAUAAACUCCAUGACUACUUCCAAGAAACGUUAAGAAAUACAGACAUCACUGAUAGAGGCCAGAGGGACUUAGAGAGGUCCUCUUGUACAGAACAGGGUCAGCUACACCUGAGUUUCACCCAGUAAUAGAAGCCAAUAUCCUGACCAGCCACAAAACCAGUACCCAAAGGACAGGAGUGGUCCAAGAAGCAGCAGCAGCAAAUGGCAUCUCCCAAUAAGCCUGACAUGAAGAGAAAGGAGAAUUAUACUCAAAGACAGUGUUUGCCCAACUCACACUGCAAAGCAAAGUCUCAGUGAUACAACACCACUUUUUUAUUUUGCACUUGAGAUUGUCUCAAAUAUUUUCAGUUGAUGGUAAAUGCUGCCUUUUGGAACAAGCUGAUCAUGAUUACAAGGUAAAUCUCAUAAUCAGAGACUCUUAUAAAUGCUGAAGGAUUGCUGGGGUUCAGAAGGAUCUAUCUCAACUUGUAGGUAACACAAUUUCAAAUGAAAAUCAAUGUUCUUCAUAAAUAUCCUAAAACUUAUUCCUGUCAAUGGACAAAACUUUUCUAAAGAAGAAAGUAUACUUUGGUUCUUGUUAUUGAAUUUAAGGAAGAACAUGAAUUUACAAGGGUUUCAGUCUCCUUUAAAGAGAGAAGUUCUUUAGAAAUUAUGGAAAAUAGACUUCCUUGAAGAUACAUUUCUAUACAAAAGGAACUUCAAGUAUCUCUGAAAAUGUGGGAAUAAAGAAAGAGAACAUUUUCCCAGAGCUGCAAACCACUGGAGGCUCCCUUCCAGGAGACGAAACUUGAUGUUCCCACUGGAAGCUGACCCCACAUGUGACUCUCGGCAGGACCAAGCAUGGCCACCAACAGAUACGCUGUCAGAGCCAAACACAAGCCUGCAGGGGAGCGUGAUGCGAUGAGCAGCUGCCACUGCUGAAAACUUUCUUUGUAGACCCUGACACCUGGCUUCCUUCACUGCAAAGCCUGACCUCCUCCUCCAAGGCACCACAGGAGACGCAUUAGUGUGGCAGGUCAGGCAAAGCAAGGAUCCAGGCAGCAGAAGCAAGCUGGUUUCAAAUCAAGAUGGCCCUGUGAUAAUAGAUUUGCCCACUCUGAAUUUGGAAGUCCUGGCUUGGAAUUUCUUUGGUUUCAGUUUGUUUAUUGGUAGAAAUGGGAUUUUUAUGCUGCUAGAACUGUGUUUCAGUCUUUCAGUGAAAGUUUAUGUGGUUCUUGCUGGUCACCUUCUACUGCCUUCUUUGUUCUGUAAGUACAUUAACAGAUUCUCUUGGGUUAUUAAAUAGGUACUGCACUUAUGCCGAAAACACACUGUGGUUGUGCUCAGUGUGAUUCUAAUUUAUAGAAGCUGCACAUUUAUCUUGCAUAAAGGUACAUAAUCUAGCAUGUUAUCUGCCACUGAGAACUGUAUCCCAUCUGCUUAGCCCACGAGACAUACACAGAUCCUCUCCUGUGUGCAAAGGAAACAGUAUUUAGGCUCUGCUUUGUAAAUGUUUGGGAUUUCUCAGGAGGAGUCUCUGCUUACUAUCCUUAAAAGCAAUACUGAAG
ensembl:lncRNA